rnacentral:lncRNA from 1 species
AAUAAUGGAGCAGAGGUUGGCUAGGGCCGUGUGACGCGCAGCAGGAGGUAGUGCUCAACUGCCGGUACAUGUUGCUUUUAUGUAAAAUCUUCUAGGGCGACGAGGACAAAACUUGCUUUUGAGUGUUCCUUCCAGUGUUCGUCUACCCUUGGCGUGUCUUUGGGCCUAGUUGUUGCGUUCGUUAGAAAACUUUGCAUCCGCCAAGGUCUACGCCUUUGUUGUCGUGGUCUGGAUUCGACGGAAUAGUGCGUCAUGAUGAUGACUACGUGCGUUUGAAGGUAAAACUUGAGCUUUCAGGUUACAACAAAUAUUCCCAAAGUUAACUUUUGAAUUUCUAAUAGCAUCGAUGAGAGCUUUUAAAUUGUAGAAUACAGGUAGUUGGGCCCCCAGCUCUUCUCGCAUGAUGAUAGAGCUUAUUGCUGGUCUAGAUACCAUCAAACACGUGAAUA